GCCCAGCUAGCUCAAUUGGUAGAGCGCGAGACUUUUAUCCUCUGGGCAUCUCGAGGCUGAGGGUUCGACCCCCUCGUUGGGCA